UUCUACAAAGUAAUAAGGAGA
rnacentral:siRNA from 1 species